GGAUGGAUCUUAGGGUUUUGUAAUCCAGAAAAAGAACUCAGGUUUAACUGUAGAGAACUUGUCAGUCUUCAAGAGUUUACUUAAUUACAACGCAUAUUCUCAUUUCUUUAGAAGCCUUUCGAGUUGGAAUUCGCUUAAGCCAUUUUGGAUAACAUGUAAUAGCAUGUACUCCUACAAUAAAGCUAAGGUACCUGUUCUUGAUGAAGCAUGUUGUCUCAUAUUGGUUUUAGGUUUCUGAGCAGAAGCAAGAUAAAGACAUAGUGGUGUUGCAGUUUAGAUGGCAGUAUCAACUGAUUACCAAGUUAAGUUUCCUGAAAGUGGUGAUCUUUACUCUAUACUAGCAGCUGAAGGGAUUGAGUUUCUUUUGUCGCAUAGUGGAGAGGUACGGCUUAUGCUCUCUCGUUUAUUAUAUUUUGAUAUUUUCGUCUGGUCUUUUAUACUCAACUAUAAGCUCACUUCAAUCAGGUGCCGUUGGAAUAUAUUCAUGGCAAGACGAUUUGUCUCUUCUUCUCUGCAAACUGGUGCAGGCCUUGCAAGGACUUCACUCCAGAGCUGGUAAAACUCUACGAAAAUCUUCAAACCCGAGGAGAAGAACUCGAGAUCAUCUUUGUAUCGUUUGAUCAUGAUAUGACUUUAUUCUAUGAACAUUUCUGGUGCAUGCCAUGGCUCGCAGUCCCCUUCAAUUUAAACCUACUCAACAAAUUAAGGGACAAGUACAGAAUUUCUCGUAUCCCGUCACUGGUUCCUCUAUAUUCAGAUGAAAUCUCAGUCGCUGAAGAUGUAAUUGGUCUAAUUGAAGAUUAUGGUCCUGAAGCAUUUCCUUUCACUAAAAAGAGAAAAGAAGAACUCAAAGCUAUCGAUGACUCCAAACGCAUUGGUGGACAAUUGGAGAAACUCCUUACUCAUGAGUCCCGAAAUUACGUUGUUGCCAGAAAUGGAAGUAAGGUAAAAAUAACUGACUUAUAGACUUCAGAUAUCUGGUCGGAUCAAAUGAUCAUAUAUGAUUAUGUCUAUGAACAUUAUGCAGGUGCUAGUUUCUAAACUAGUGGGCAAGACUAUAGGGUUGUACUUUGGUGCCCACUGGUGUCCGCCUUUUCGAUCUUUCACUUCUCAGCUCCUGGAUGUGUACAAUGAGCUCGCGACCAGAGAUAAAGGCUCCUUUGAAGUCAUCUUAGUUUCAACAGACAGAGACUCAAGAGAGUUUAACAUCAACAUGACCAAUAUGCCAUGGCUUGCAAUACCUUAUGAGGACAGAACAAGACAAGACCUUUGUAGAAUCUUCAGCAUCAAACUCAUACCUGCAUUGGUCAUCAUAGGACCGGAAGAGAAAACAGUGACCACAAACGCAAGAGAGAUGGUAUCGUUGUAUGGAUCAAGGAGUUUCCCAUUCACAGAAUCAAGGAUUGUUGAGUUAAAAGCUUGUUUGAAGAAAGAAGGUGAUUCACUUCCAAGGAAAGUGAAGGAUAAGAAGCAUGAACAUGAGCUAAAGCUGGAUAUGGCGAAAGCUUAUGUGUGUGAUUUCUGUAAGAAGCAAGGCAGGUUUUGGGCGUUUUCUUGCGAUGCUUGCGAUUAUGAUCUUCAUCCUACAUGUGUGGAAGAACAAGACGCAUUGUUGGUUUAGCAAAAGAGACAUUAGUCGUGAUUUGUCUGAAUGAUUUUGUAAUAUUAGUAAACAUAGAAGACAGUCGUCGGGAUAUAUUAUGUUCUCAAAAUGAAAUUAAGAAAUCAAUGGGCCAUGCCAUGUAAAACAACAAAUCACAAGUUUAGGAAUUAGGAUCAAGAUUGUAAUUAGAUGUUCUGUUUGUAUAAUCAACAUUCUGUUUUCAUUAAUAGAAAAGUAUAUUUUAUAUUUACAUUUUCUUACAAGUAUAUAGAUUGAAAAGUAAGUCUUAGCUUAUGAUUUUUUUUGUUUUCAUUUCUUUAAUAUUCAUUUGGAUAUAAUCUGAUUUCUAAUACUCCUACAAUAAAGCUAAGGUAACCUGUUCUUGAUGAAGCAUGUUGUCUCAUAUUGGUUUUAGGUUUCUGAG
rnacentral:lncRNA from 1 species